rnacentral:rRNA from 1 species
GACCCUAUAGAGUUUUAUAUUUUAUGAAAUUUAUUUUUUUUAGAAUUUACAAGUUGAAUUUUAUUAAAUAUUUAGUUGGGGUGAUUGAAAAAUUAAAUAAACUUUUUUUAUAUUAAGUCAUUUAUUUAUGAAUAUUUGAUCCAUUAUUAGUGAUUACAAGAUUAAAUUACCUUAGGGAUAACAGCGUAAUUUUUUUUGAGAGUUCAAAUCGAAAAAAAAGAUUGCGACCUCGAUGUUGGAUUAAAAUAAAUAUUUGGUGUAGGAGCUAAAUUAAUUGGGUCUGUUCGACCUUUAAAAUUUUACAUGAUCUGA